UCGUAUACGGGUACAGGGAAAGCACACAUUAUUAAUAAUUAUUCGCAAAUCAAUGGUCAACGCAGUAAUCGAUUAGCACCGUUUUACCUAAAAUAAAAUAUAAUGCCAUCUAUAUACUGUAUACAAGCUACUAUUAUUGUAUUAUCUAAUGUAUGGUAAACGGUUCCUCGCGCUAAAAAAAAAAAAAGAAUAUAAUUUAAAAGCCGUAGGCGGUCAAAUUGUAUAUUAUAAAUUAUUAAGUAGUGUUUGCCUUGGCGCGGGGGUCUGAAAAACACGCUGUUGAUGAGUACUAAGUAAAUCAAUGCUGAGCUAGUUAACCAAUUGUUUUUUAACUAGUUCGAGUCGGGUUAUCCUAAAACGAAACAAAAUGUCGAAGUCGAGUAACAGUUAAUUUUAAAAUAUAAAUUAAUUUUAGAAACCAAAAUAAGUUAAAAUUUUCAGGAAAAUUAUAAUAUACUUAAUUACGAUGCAAGUCGAGAGUUACUUUUUUUAAAUGAUAAUUUACUAUACACUCGACCUAUAACCUGACCUUUUGUACUAUAAUUUUUAGAUUAUUUUGUAGAUCUAUACUAUAAACAAGGCGCGUGUGAUUGAUAUCCCAUAUCCCUGCAUAGGCAUACCAGUAUUGAUAUGCGCGAUCUAUCCAUUUUAACGUUGAAAUACGUAAUUUUCAUCAAAAAAUAAAUGCCAAAAACAUAAUGGGGAUUGUCAAAAAAAAAAAAAAAAAAUGAUUGAUUAAAUCCACGAAUCUUAUUUUAAUAAACGCGAUAAGCUCAAAAAUGAAAUUA